rnacentral:hammerhead_ribozyme from 1 species
AUCCAGCUGAUGAGUUUCAAAUAGGAUGAAACGCACAUCCUGGAU